rfam:Sphingobacterium sp. ACCC 05744 h2621, whole genome shotgun sequence.
AAAAAUGUGGACUGAUUUGCGUAUGGCAUAUUUGAAAAAUGUCAUAGGAGAUUGCAACCACAGUAAAAAAGUGCUAAAACCAAAAUU